UCUUCCAAGUGACAAAUAGUGGGCUGAAACCAAAUCCAUGUCACAAGAGAACAGGAAAAAAGAGGCUCAGUUUAAUUUCACCAAAGGUCACUGAAGUUAUCACUAAACCAUUUUGUGAUCACUGAAUUUUAAUGGGUCAAAAUAAAAUAACUUAUUUUUAUUGACUAUCAAUUAGGUUCAUUUAUAUUGAAAUCUGGCACUGCAUUCCAACUAGUUUUUUCUAAUCUUAUUUUAGAUGGUUCAAUGGGCUCUUCUUAAAAAAAGAUGGUUUAAUAGGCCCAAAGAAAAUUUAAGCGGAUGAUAUAUUUUUUAUAUGAAGAAUUAUGCAAAAGCAAGAAAAUCAUAUGAAGAGUUAUUUGGGAAUAUAAAGUUUAAUUAAAAUUUUUUGUUAUGAUUCUAAAGUCAAAAUUUUACUUUGUAAUCCCAGAUUCAU
rnacentral:misc_RNA from 1 species